AUUUGACAACUCACGCUUUCUGGGUAGCUGUGUGGAAAUUUCAUAAUCUUCUUAAAUUUUUAUAGUAGACGAAGCCGCAGCUGGGAAUGAAUCGAAUUUUUAAAAACUCUUUAAACCCAUGUUCUCUUUUUUUUCUGGAGGGCUAGGCCGGCGCUGUUUACGCAACUCAAGAGCGACACAAAAUAUUGAAUUCUACUUCGAAUGCUGGAGGGAACUAUAUGCUUAAAUGUUUCCAGUGACGGGUGCAUAUGCGCAUCCAUCAGUGCAGACGAAAGGCGCUGAGGCAGACUGGACGCCCAUACAAUGCACAGACAGGGAGUGUAGCCACUCCUUGAUGAAGGCUCCGCAUCUGCACUGUCCAUUCUGCUCCCAGGACAGUCUCUUCACUGAGGAGAUUCUCCUCAAGGCGCACUACGUACAGGGUCAAGUACGUGGAUAAAGGCAUCAACUUUGGGGGAUGUCAACCAGAUCUUCACCACAUACACUGACCCAGCACCCAACAGUACCUGCCUGGUAACACACCUCAUAGUCCCCCAGUCACAGCAGCCAUCAGAGACGGACACAUCAUCCCCGGGGCUAUGAGCAGACUGACGGGCAGCAGCCGCAGAUCGAGUACCAGUACGCCUGCAUCAAUGAUCCGAGCCAGAGCACUGCCAAUGGGGAAGUUGUCCUUAUUGAGAUACCAGACGAAGGAAGCAAAGAGGAUUUGGAGGACGAGACUUGCUACACAGAGCACAACUUGUCGCUGCUGCUGCAGGAGAAGGAACGUCUGGAG